UUUACAUUUUAAUUGUUAACAUUUCACUGCAUUUGUAUUCUCUCUUCGGAUGUACAUGUGUAUAUGUGGGUGUGUGAUCUAUUUAAGGGUUAGAUGCAGACAUCACAAUACUUCACCCCUAAAUCCUUCAGCAUGUGACUCCUGAGAACCAGGACACUGUACCUGACAGUGACACUGCAGUGAACACACAACUGACACAUGACUACUGUAUAAUAUAUGGUCCAUGUUCAUAUCCCCACAUAUCCCAAUUAUAGCACUGGUUUUACAUUUAGUUUUGAUCCAGGAUCCAAACAAAGACCUCUCAUUACAUUUAAAUGUUAUAUCUCUCAGACAUCUUUGUUCUAGAACAUUCCUCUUCUUUUCUUUAUAACACUUUACAAUUGAAGUCAGCUGUUUUGCAGAAUAUUCCUCACUUCGGAUUUGCCUGGUUGCAUGUGUCCUCACGACUGGGUUCAGGUGAAGCAGCUUUGGUAUGAAAGUGCAAAGGCAGUGUUCGGUCCCGGUGCUCCCCGUGCACAUUAGGGACCCGUGGGUCACUCUGUGCAGCUAGUGGCGGUCACUGGGCUGCAAAGAUGUCUACCAGACCUUUCCAGUGUACAGACUUCUCAUUCUUUGUAUAAAUUCUCACUGAUGUGUGGGAUGAUUCUUUGAGAUUGUGUGAAAAUCCAGUUCCUCGACAGUUGUUCACCCAAUAGCUUAUAGUAAUUUACUGACAUAGUUCUCAAACUAUCAUUUGUGUGCAUCUAUACAGUCUGGAUAUAUCUGUAGAAUCCUGGGUAAAAUGAAAUUCGGUGACCUAGUUCAAUCACCUUUCAAAUUCCAUUGAAGCACACUGGCAUUUUAAAGUUGUGGAUUAACGCUUCCUAGAUCAUGCCUAUAGCUCAGCAUGUGAGUUCCAUCAAGUAGGAAAAGGUAGGAAAAAUCAUCAGAUUGCAAGAGUCAUUUCCUAAACAGAAGUGCAACAGAACAGGACCCCAUCCCCUGUCCCAGAUGUCCUCCGCACCCUGUCCUGCUGGAAGGGGUGUGAAUGACUAGGAGAAAACAAGGUAGAAUCCCAGAUUCUCGAUCACAGCCUCUCACCCCCCUGCUUCUGCCCCCGACUUCUCCAAAGGCCAGAGCGGCUGCAGGAACUGCCCACCCUGCCAGAGGGGCGCCUCCUAGAGCCAGGACAGGGGACAGCAUCGUGGGCAUCUCCAGCCGGCCGGCGCCACAGAAGCCACUGUUCAACCUCCGUCAUCGAGAUCCACAAUAUUUUAAGGCCAUUUGCUCACAUACUGCCUUUAAUGGUCUCCUACUCCUGAGGGCAAAUCAAGUAUAUUUUCUUGUCCUGGGACGCUGUGAAGAAGCCCCUCACACCUCCCACCCCGGCACACAGAAGGUGGGCGAAGUUGCAAGACGCCAGAGAAGGAGACGCACAGACAGCAGCCCGGCGGCCUGAGGUCAGGCCGGGGGUCGGACGACAGCACGGGGUUGACGUGUUGAUGGCAGCUGCACGGGGCCAAGGUCCUUACGCUUCACACGCCCACGGAAGUCAUACAGCGGAAGAAAGGGGAUCCCGCACACAGUGAAGGGGAAAGUGUGGUCUCCAGAAAAUUCCACCUUCCUGUGACCCAAAUUCUCCACCAAGUGAUGACAUUCUGGGCUGUGACAAAGGAGCUUGGACUGAACGAAGAAAAAGGUAGCUGGCUCUUCUGGAAGGAAAGGCCAGGGAGGGGUGAGACCAGGACAGCCAGCACGAAGCGACUCAGGCGCCCGCGGCCUCUCUCCGAAUAUGUGGGACGGAGACAGGCGGCAGAGGCAUUUCACCAGCAGUGCAGGCUUCCACCUUCCCAGGGCCACGUGAUCCUGGUGAAACUUUCCAGUUUCAAAGUGACCACCGCCCCCCCCCCCCCACCGUGCCUUCGUCUGGUCUACACUUUUCUUCUUUAAUGGGAAGAAUGGAAGAAAUAUCAGAACAAAUAGAACUUAGAAAGAUCUAAAACCUUUCCUUGAAACUUACUGCAUGCCACCAAUAACCCUAAAUUGGAAAAACUCAGUAAUGAAGGUCCUUUUUAAUUACCAGCCUUGAAUCUAACCGCAGCCUUUCGUGCAUUCAAUUGCUCAUUGUCAAUAGAAUCAUCUUUCAGAGUGUUUCAUCUAUCAACAGACAUUUGAUGAUCUAUAUUGAAUAAUAUUUUACUCUGUAUAUUUAAAAUAUACUUUCAGGGCUUCCCUGGUGGCGCAGUGGUUGAGAGUCCGCCUGCCGAUGCAGGGGACGCGGGUUCGUGCCCCAGUCCGGGAA